UACGUAGGCAGCAAGCGUUGUUCGGAGUUACUGGGCGUAAAGAGUGCGUAGGUGGUGCCCUAAGUCUGUUGUGAAAUCUCCCGGCUUAACUGGGAGGGUGCGGUGGAAACUGGGGUGCUUGAGUGUGGGAGAGGUAAGCGGAAUUCCUGGUGUAGCGGUGAAAUGCGUAGAUAUCGUAAGGAAGACCAGUGGCGAAGGCGGGUCUCUGGACAGUUCCUGACGCUGAGGCACGAAGGUCAGGGGAGCAAACGGG
rnacentral:rRNA from 1 species